AUUGAACGCUGGCGGCAUGCCUUACACAUGCAAGUCGAACGGUAACAGGUCUUCGGAUGCUGACGAGUGGCGAACGGGUGAGUAAUACAUCGGAACGUGCCCGAUCGUGGGGGAUAACGAGGCGAAAGCUUUGCUAAUACCGCAUACGAUCUACGGAUGAAAGCGGGGGAUCUUCGGACCUCGCGCGGAUGGAGCGGCCGAUGGCAGAUUAGGUAGUUGGUGGGAUAAAAGCUCACCAAGCCAACGAUCUGUAGCUGGUCUGAGAAGAUGAUCAGCCACACUGGGACUGAGACACGGCCCAGACUCCUACGGGAGGCAGCAGUGGGGAAUUUUGGACAAUGGGCGAAAGCCUGAUCCAGCCAUGCCGCGUGCAGGAUGAAGGCCUUCGGGUUGUAAACUGCUUUUGUACGGAACGAAAAGACUCUGGUUAAUACCUGGGGUCCAUGACGGUACCGUAAGAAUAAGCACCGGCUAACUACGUGCCAGCCGCCGCCGUAACAC
rnacentral:rRNA from 1 species